rnacentral:rRNA from 1 species
ACGGGGUGCAGCAGGCGCGAAAACUUCGCAAUGUGCGAAAGCACGACGAGGGAAUCCCAAGUGCUGGCUCGUUAGAGUCAGCUGUUUUUAUGUCUAAAAAGCAUAGAGAGUAAGUGCUGGGUAAGACGGGUGCCAGCCGCCGCGGUAAUACCUGCAGCACAAGUGGUGGCCGCUAUUAUUGGGCCUAAAACGUCCGUAGCCUGUUUAUUAAAUGCCUAGGUAAAUUGUGUGGCUUAACCAUACGAAUUCUGGGUAGACUGAUAAACUUGAGACCGGGAGAAGCUAGAGGUACUCCUGGGGUAGAGGUGAAAUUCUGUAAUCCUAGGGGGACCACCAGUGGCGAAGGCGUCUAGCUAGAACGGGUUUGACGGUGAGGGACGAAGCCCUGGGGCGCAAACGGGAUUAGAUACCCCGGUAGUCCAGGGUGUAAACGCUGCUUGCUUGAUGUUGGUUGGGCUCCGAGCCCAAUCAGUGUCGGAGAGAAGUUGUUAAGCAAGCUGCCUGGGAAGUACGAUCGCAAGACUGAAACUUAAAGGAAUUGGCGGGGGAGCAC